ensembl:misc_RNA 7SK 7SK RNA
AGAUGUGAAGGCAACCUGGCUAUGACAUCUGUCACCCCAUUGAUCACCAGGGUUGAUUGGCUGAUCUGGCUGGUCAGGCGGGGGUUCUCUUCCUCCCUCAUCACUACAUAUGCUUCUCUCAGAAAGCUGCGUGCUCGGUGGAAGAGGAAGACAUUAAUCAGUAGAGGACCAUUUCCAUCAUCAAGUGUAUAAGAGUAGAAUAGCUGUACUUCCCUGCCAGAACCUCCAAACAAGCUCUCAAGGAACAAGAAACUACAUUCCAGGAAGGAGAAAGGACAUGUAAUGGUUUGUGAAAAGAAGCAAAAUGUUUCAAGAAUUAAGCUUU